GACCAAGUGUGUUCCUGACCACAGCCACAAGUACAGCAAUCACCAAAGCAAAUCAUGCAGCUGAAAAACGUCUUGCUCCUCCUUGUCGUCACUGUCGCCGUCACAAGCGCCUUUAGGAGGCCCAGCUUCAACACCAUCUAUGCCCUGUAUGCAUACAGCGACAUGGACACCCCGGACUUCCCCGACUUCUACAACCCCAUGUACAGCUACAUGAUGGGAAGACUCGGCAGUCGUGCUGGUCAGAGAACAAACAACAAUCUCAGGAAUCUGUUCAGGAUGAAAGCUCUCGACCUUAUCUGAGGCAGAUAACCCGAACGAAGGAUGACCUGCGUGAAGGUCCAGUUGGAUUGUUUGGUAAAAUUAUCGGUAUCCUUGAAAUAAAGACAAAUAACCACAA